UCAAAAUGAUGAUGAAUUGAAGUUCCACUGAAAUUACUAUGUUGUAUUUUCAAUCCCAACAGGUUCUGAUUGA
rnacentral:snoRNA from 1 species